GGUCCUGGGCAAUUAAUAUGUGUGGACAUAGUGGUCUCCUUGCUCUUUUAUUGGCUGAGUAUAUGAAAGUUUGAGAUCAAUGACUCCACAAAUAUGAAGGGAAUCACAGGAUAUAGGUAUAGAGCAGCAAAGUGAAGCUGUGGUAAAAGAAGAAACAUAUUUCAUUGACUGGUGGGGCAAGCUUGAGGAGCAUAUGGUCAAAUCCUGCUCCUCAUUCUUAUUUUGUUAUAUCUCUCUUGUUUUUCAGGAAAUUAUUUUCUAUAUUUCAAUCAUGGAACACAUUAGAACCUCCAAAAGAAAUUUAUUGCUUGAAAUUAUAUUCUUAAAGUUACAACAACCAACAGAUGGAUUAUUCCUCUUGAUGCAAACAUACCAAUCAAAUGACAAGGAUUUGUGAAACAAUAAUUUUUUUGAAGAAUUGUUAUUAAGCCUGGAUGAAAGUAAAGAGUUGAUCAGUGCUUAGAGAAGGUUAACAGCACAAAAGUGGGACUCCUUGAGGACGGGAAUACCUUGCGGAGACCUUGCAGAAGCCUGGAAGUUGUGCUUGACACCCCAAUAUAUAGUAAUUUCUUUUUAUUCUUAUUGUAAUGAAACAAGGUAC